rnacentral:rRNA from 1 species
CAGCCGCCGCGGUAAUACGUAGGUGGCAAGCGUUGUCCGGAAUUAUUGGGCGUAAAGCGCGCGCAGGCGGUCCCUUAAGUCUGAUGUGAAAGCCCACGGCUCAACCGUGGAGGGUCAUUGGAAACUGGGGGACUUGAGUGCAGAAGAGGAAAGUGGAAUUCCACGUGUAGCGGUGAAAUGCGUAGAGAUGUGGAGGAACACCAGUGGCGAAGGCGACUUUCUGGUCUGUAACUGACGCUGAGGCGCGAAAGCGUGGGGAGCAAACAGGAUUAGAUACCCGGGUAGUCCACGCCGUAAACGAUGAGUGCUAAGUGUUAGGGGGUUUCCGCCCCUUAGUGCUGCAGCUAACGCAUUAAGCACUCCGCCUGGGGAGUACGGCCGCAAGGCUGAAACUUAAAGGAAUUGGCGGG